rnacentral:rRNA from 1 species
GAGGCCUAACACAUGCAAGUCGAACGCGUGUAGCAAUACACGAGUGGCGCACGGGUGAGUAACGCGUGGAUAUCUGCCUUUUGGUUCGGAAUAACCCCGGGAAACUGGGGCUAAUACCGGAUGGUUCCUUCGGGAUAAAGAUUUAUCGCCAAAAGAUGAGUCCGCGUACGAUUAGCUAGUUGGUGAGGUAAUGGCUCACCAAGGCGACGAUCGUUAGCUGGUCUGAGAGGACGAUCAGCCACACUGGGACUGAGACACGGCCCAGACUCCUACGGGAGGCAGCAGUGGGGAAUAUUGGACAAUGGGGGCAACCCUGAUCCAGCCAUGCCGCGUGAGUGAUGAAGGCCUUCGGGUUGUAAAGCUCUUUUGGCGGGGACGAUGAUGACGGUACCCGCAGAAUAAGCCCCGGCUAACUUCGUGCCAGCAGCCGCGGUAAGACGAAGGGGGCUAGCGUUGUUCGGAAUUACUGGGCGUAAAGCGCGUGUAGGCGGUUGUUCAAGUCGGGUGUGGAAGCCUUGAGCUCAACUCAAGAAAUGCACUCGGUACUGGAUGACUAGAGGACCGGAGAGGAUAGUGGAAUUCCCAGUGUAGUGGUGAAAUACGUAGAGAUUGGGAAGAACACCAGUGGCGAAGGCGGCUAUCUGGACGGU